rnacentral:lncRNA from 1 species
ACCUCAGCCCCUUGAGCCACUAGGAAUUCAGAGAUCACUGGAGCCAAAAGCAGAUAAAGCAGAAAAUGAUCCCUUUAUUGGAAGUUUGAAGGGGCUCCGGGUUUAGAAAGCCUAAUGCAAGGAAGCAUGGGAAGGAUUUGGUGUCUGGAUUUGAGACUUGCCUUCUACUAGCUUUUCAAUUUGGAAAGAAAUACUGCUUUGGGAUACAUC